rnacentral:rRNA from 1 species
ACGGAGGAUGCGAGCGUUAUCCGGAUUUAUUGGGUUUAAAGGGUGCGCAGGCGGAUUUUUAAGUCAGCGGUCAAAUCGUGGGGCUCAACCCCAUCCAGCCGUUGAAACUGGGGAUCUAGAGUGUGCGAGAGGUAUGCGGAAUGCGUGGUGUAGCGGUGAAAUGCAUAGAUAUCACGCAGAACCCCGAUUGCGAAGGCAGCAUACCGGUGCACAACUGACGCUCAGGCACGAAAGCGUGGGUAUCGAA